UACGUAGGGUGCAAGCGUUAAUCGGAAUUACUGGGCGUAAAGCGUGCGCAGGCGGUUAUGUAAGACAGUUGUGAAAUCCCCGGGCUCAACCUGGGAACUGCAUCUGUGACUGCAUAGCUAGAGUACGGUAGAGGGGGAUGGAAUUCCGCGUGUAGCAGUGAAAUGCGUAGAUAUGCGGAGGAACACCGAUGGCGAAGGCAAUCCCCUGGACCUGUACUGACGCUCAUGCACGAAAGCGUGGGGAGUAAACAGG
rnacentral:rRNA from 1 species